GGGGAUGUGGCUCAAGCGGUAGAGCACUCGCCUGGCAUGUGUAGGGGGCUGGGUUCAAUCCUCAGCACCACA
rnacentral:tRNA from 1 species